UUAAUCUAGUAGCUUACGUCGUCUAUAAAUAAAUAACUAAAAGCUAUCAAAUAAACACACAAACAAUAAUAAAUACAUUGAUCUGUUUCAUAUUAAGCCUACACACCUACAUUAAGCCUUUUUAAAGUAAUUACAUUUAUUCAUGUCAAAGUAUUACCCAAGUGCGUUUCUAGGCAACAAAAAUCGCGCCGGCGCCAUUUUCCCUCCUUCAGUCGCAGCAGGAGGACGGGCUCAUGCAACGGUCAAGAAAAAUAACAGUCGGACUCAGAUAACGCGACUUUUAUAUUUUGAGACGGUUGGCAGACCAUCUUCCACAUCUCUCUCGCGCGCACGACGCCGCAGAAACUACAGCAACAGGUAAUGUAAACCCACCCAUAUUACAACCUUUAAACUUAUUGUUAAUAUUUAUUUAUGACCCGCUUCGUAAGUUUCACAUAAUAUAUCCUUGUAAUGCUAAUUCAGUUUACUAAAGCAAGCCGAAGCCCCGGUGAACAGAGGCUCGAGGGUCGUUUAUGAUGGCUGUUUUGCUAACGUUAGUUAACAUUUAAGACUGUUAUUUGCUCUUCACGUUUUCUAAUGUGAAACUCAUAAUAACAAUUUGUUGUCAUGCUUUUGAAAUUAAUCUUUUCAGAGCAAAGACGUUGAAAGGUGGUGUGAUAUCAACAUGGCUACAAUAAUAUGAGUAAGUAUAAUUCACAUUGAACAAAUCGAUGUGCUUUAGUAUGGUACGAAAUGCAAAUUGUCACGUUAUGAACAUGUUAAAUGCAUCUUUCUUCAAUUUAAAUUUUUAAAUUGCUAUUUUUGCAAAUGUAUGUAAUGAUGACCAGAAAUUUAUUGCAGCACAAAUGGUAAGUAUAUACUGAAGCAAUACAAUAUUUGUUUUUGCAACUUAUUAUAAUGAAAUUUAAAUCUAAACAUAUUGAUCAAUACAUACACAGCCCACACAAAAAAUAAUACAAACCUCAACUAACAUCAAGCUAUAUUGGUUCUUGCACACCACAUGAAUGGCAUCAUGACCUCCAAGGACCAAUGAUGUUUGAUAAUGUAUUGUCACCAUUUUCUGUAUUGGCAGAGAGAAUAACAACUUAAAUUUCAGUCUGUCUUGUCAUGUUGUAUUGCUUCAGAAGAAUACUGGUUACGUCUUAAGUUCUGGUUAUAGCUGACUUUAUUAAUAUGGAUAGAAAAAUUAUCUGUUGUGUUAUUUUCCACUGGCACUUAUCCUGAAGUUGACUUGGGUUUGUAUAAAGGUGUCAAUUAAUUGCUAAUCCUAGGUUGCAGUGAUUGAAAAUUGUCUUAUCAUGAAUCAUAAAAAUAAACUGACCAUAAAUGUUGUUUAAUUGUGAGUUAAACUAACCUAAUUUUUUGUUUUGUUUUCAAGGGCUGCAUUUUUUGACUUUGAUGUCAUUCGAAGUACGAUCUGGCGGGUCUUACUAUCUGUAAAGAAGAGUCUGCCGAUGUUUUUAAGACACAAGAAAAAGGAGCUUGACCAGGUGCAGAAGGCAACACUCACCAUCAUUGCUGUAGAGGAGGAAGAGGGAACUUUUUACCUUUUAACCCACUGGAUAUUUUGAUUGUCUUUGAAGAUGAGGUGAUGUCUGCCAAGUCAGUGCACUGCCUUUGGAGUACACUUAGUUCGUACAGAAAGUACUGUUGAAUUACCUUUCUUACAUAAAAAUUAUCUACUCUGUUUCUGGUGGUGUUAGAACAUAGUUAUUUUAUAUUAUUAAUUUAAUUUUACAAACUUUUACAAUUUUAAAAUUAAAAUUUUUAAACAAACAUAUUUCCUUGUUUGUGCGGUCUUAUACUUGGAGGGAAAAAAAAUCUA